UUCACGGACAGCUGCAGAAACUGCACUUUGCAGACCCUCCUGAGCUGGUGAAUGCUUUCCCUCCAUGCUGUGGUCUCAGCCUUCUGCUCACAAGUGGCCCUACUUUUCCAGUCACAUUCACAGGAAUCUGAAACUAACCACAGUCAUGCGGCAGAGCAGUGAGAAAACGUUUUCCAGCUGCACUACCGAACUUGACGACCGGUGAGAGGCCUCUCCCCGAGCUGCCGGCCAGAGCUGGACCUGCGCCACUGGAAACAGAAGUGCAACUUUAUCACUUGACUUCAAGAAGAGCUUUUCCAGCAGCACAUGGAGACAAUGUAAGAUCCCGGAGUGAUAGAAGCUCCCCUACAUGCUGGGGCGGCUGGAA
rnacentral:lncRNA from 1 species